rnacentral:rRNA from 1 species
GACGAACGCUGGCGGCGUGCUUAACACAUGCAAGUCGAACGGAAAGGCCCUGCUUUUGUGGGGUGCUCGAGUGGCGAACGGGUGAGUAACACGUGAGUAACCUGCCCUUGACUUUGGGAUAACUUCAGGAAACUGGGGCUAAUACCGGAUAGGAGCUCCUGCUGCAUGGUGGGGGUUGGAAAGUUUCGGCGGUUGGGGAUGGACUCGCGGCUUAUCAGCUUGUUGGUGGGGUAGUGGCUUACCAAGGCUUUGACGGGUAGCCGGCCUGAGAGGGUGACCGGCCCAAUGGGACCUGGGAAACGGCCCAGACCCCUCCGGGGGGGAGGGGGGGGGAAUUUUGCAAAAGGGGGGGAAGCCUGAUGCAGCACCCCCGGGUGGGGGAAGAGGGCCUUCGGGUUGUAAACCGCUUUCCCCUGUGCCGAAGCGGGGGUGGCGGUAAUGGGUAAAAAAGCACCGGCUAACAAGGG